CCCUCCCAUAGUUCAGUGGCAGAACAUCUGCUUGGCAUGCAGAAGGUCCCAGGUUCAAUCCCUGGCAUCUGCGGGGGGGG